rnacentral:rRNA from 1 species
UGGGGAAUAUUGCACAAUGGGGGAAACCCUGAUGCAGCGACGCCGCGUGAACGAAGAAGGUAUUCGUAUCGUAAAGUUCUGUCCUAUGGGAAGAUAAUGACAGUACCAUAGAAGAAAGCUCCGGCUAAAUACGUGCCAGCAGCCGCGGUAAUACGUAUGGAGCGAGCGUUGUCCGGAAUUAUUGGGCGUAAAGGGUACGCAGGCGGUUUUAUAAGUCGAAUGUUAAAGAUCGGGGCUCAACCCCGCAAAGCAUUGGAAACUGAUAAACUUGAGUAGUGGAGAGGAGAGUGGAAUUCCUAGUGUAGUGGUGAAAUACGUAGAUAUUAGGAGGAAUACCAGUAGCGAAGGCGACUUUCUGGACACAAACUGACGCUGAGGUACGAAAGCGUGGGGAGCAAACAGG